GCUGGGGAGAAUGGAAGAAACUCUGCCUUUAUACAGGCAUAAAACCCAAUGGCUGUCUCUUGGCCAGUGUUCCUGAUUUUCCAGUAAGCUGUGUGCUGCACGGAGGUGUAGAACCCUAAUGGCUUGUUGUAUGCCAUUAAAAGAGCAAGUCAGACUUCUGUGGGCUUUCAAAACCAAAUGAAUGAUGGUCUUGACCAGCACUGCGGUGUUGCUAAUGACCUCAUUGCUGACCACAGCUGCUGGCAGCCAGGCUCCCAUUGCCACUGCAUUGCUGAUAGAAACACCAUUUUCUUUGAAUCUCAGAGGCAGAUGUGCAGAUGGGAGAGAAGCCGUGGUGCUGUGAGCAGAGUCCCAAGUUUUUAUCAGUGUUUUUGCAGAGUGGAACUGGAAGUUGCUGACACACUCCAGGCAAUAACAUGGAGCACAGGGAAAAGUGCCUGCAUCAGUGGCACAGGGAGAGCAGGUUGUGGCACAUGAGGAAUGUGAACAGGAGUACGUUGCCAGGGCAACAGAGUGUAAGCAGGAGCACAGCACCUUGCAGAUCACAAAGGCAAAGCUGCAGAAAGAAAUUUCAGCGAGUUUCUCUCUCCCUUUUGCAAUGGUUUCAUGGAACAACAAAAACUGCUUUGAGGCACGUUGCAGAAAUGGCUGGAAGCUGGAUUCAGGAGUGGGAGGUGGUUCUGCAGAGAGUGACAGGGACCAAACCCUUGGACCAGGUGUGGGGACAGUUGCCUGCAAGAGAGGAGAAAAUUCUGCUUGGAGACCUGGGCAUGAGGCGCAUAACUCAUGGAUUUCCUGCGUCUCCAGAUAAGCGUUUACACCUGAGACAUCAGAGUCCAGGGAGUGAAGAGCAGCCUGGCUGCAGGGACAAGGGCAUGUGGCUCUGUUCAGAGUGAGCAGAAAAGCCAGGAAUGAAGAAGCAGCCUGUUGCUUUGGCAGUGUUUGAGGAAAGAUCUCCCUUUCCCAUGGCUUCAGAGAGUUGGAGACAAGGUCACGCUGGUCUGAGGAAAGCCAAAUAGCUUCUGGAAAUCCCAAAUCAGACUGACACUGCAAGAUCUGUCCAUCAUUCAAAUUUAGAUGAAGUCACCUUCCACGUUGCUUUCACUGACAUUUAGGAUUUUUUUUUGUUUGGUAUUGGCUGGUUUCUGUGAAAUCCAACAGCUCUGCUCCUCUAAGCUCUAGCCAAGAAAAUCUCCACCGUUUUUGUCCUCUGUGCAGAAUCUAAUUUCAUAGAAACUGAACAUUAAUUCAGAUAAAAUAUGUAGAUACAGAAUCUCCUUAAAGCAGUCUUCUAUGAAGUCUGCAGGAAGGCAGCUGACUGCAACCAGACUGGGCCACAGAAAGAACUCUGGGACAAGGUGCACUUGCCAACUGCCAGGCAGUGGACAAUAUUUCUAUUUUUUGUUGGCUUAGGAGACUGCAUUUUUGGCUCCUUAAAGCAAUUCUGGACAAGAAACUAUUUGCUGGAUCUUCCUGUACAAUUUUUAAUUUUUUUUUCUGUUUUAAUUAUAAUAAAUUUUAAAAUGUAGAAAGUCAAAAGGAUUAUUAUCUGUUCUUUGUAAGACUCUAUGGGGAAGCCCAAAGUUGAAGCAAGGUGGCAGAACCU